rnacentral:rRNA from 1 species
UACGUAGGGCGCAAGCGUUGUCCGGAAUUAUUGGGCGUAAAGAGCUCGUAGGCGGCUUGUCACGUCGGGUGUGAAAGCCCGGGGCUUAACCCCGGGCCUGCAGUGGGUACGGGCAGACUAGAGUGCGGUAGGGGAGACUGGAAUUCCUGGUGUAGCGGUGAAAUGCGCAGAUAUCAGGAGGAACACCGGUGGCGAAGGCGGGUCUCUGGGCAGUAACUGACGCUGAGGAGCGAAAGCGUGGGGAGCGAACAGG